UAUGGGUCUGACCCAGCCCCACAUCCCCCCAUAGGAGAACAAGGUGAAGUUUGCGGCUCAGCUGGAGCGUGACUACGGGGUGAGAGUGAACCCGGCCGGGCUGUUCGACGUGCAGGUGAAACGGAUCCACGAGUACAAGAGGCAGCUGCUCAACUGCCUGCACGUCAUCACCCUGUAUAACAGGAUUAAGAAGGAGCCCAAUAAAGCCUUCGUGCCCCGCACCGUCAUGAUCGGGGGCAAGGCCGCCCCUGGUUACUACAUGGCGAAGCUGAUCAUGUCCCUAUUGAUCCCUAUGGUUCCCUAUUGAUCCCUAUUGAUCCUUCCAUUGAUCCUAUUGA